rnacentral:rRNA from 1 species
ACGCUGGCGGCAUGCCUAACACAUGCAAGUCGAACGGUAACAGGUCUUCGGAUGCUGACGAGUGGCGCACGGGUGAGUAACGCGUGGAUAUCUGCCUAUGAGUGGGGGACAACUUUCGGAAACGAAAGCUAAUACCGCAUAAUCUCUACGGAGCAAAGCAGGGGACCUUUCGGGGCYUUGUGCUKAUAGAUGAGUCCGCGUCAGAUUAGCUAGUUGGUGGGGUAAGAGCCUACCAAGGCGAUGAUCUGUAGCUGGUUUGAGAGGAUGAUCAGUCACACUGGAACUGAGACACGGUCCAGACUCCUACGGGAGGCAGCAGUGGGGAAUUUUGCACAAUGGGCGCAAGCCUGAUGCAGCGAUGCCGCGUGUGGGAAGAAGGCCUUUGGGUUGUAAACCACUUUCAAUUGGGAAGAAGGGAUGAGUAUUAAUAAUACUCUGACUUGACGGUACCUUUAGAAGAAGCACCGGCUAAUUUCGUGCCAGCAGCCGCGGUAAUACGAAAGGUGCAAGCGUUGUUCGGAUUUACUGGGCGUAAAGAGAUCGUAGGUGGUUUGUUAAGUUAGAUGUGAAAUCCCGGGGCUCAACCUCGGAACUGCAUCUAAAACUGGCAGACUUGAGUUCGGGAGGGGUAAGCGGAAUUCCGUGUGUAGCAGUGAAAUGCGUAGAUAUACGGAGGAACACCUGAGGCGAAGGCGGCUUACUGGACCGAUACUGACACUGAGGAUCGAAAGCGUGGGUAGCAAACAGGAUUAGAUACCCUGGUAGUCCACGCCCUAAACGAUGUCAACUAGCCGUUGCGGGUAUCGACCCCUGCAGUGGCGCAGCUAACGCGAUAAGUUGACCGCCUGGGGAGUACGGUCGCA